UGCUGGGACACAGCCAGAGCAGAGCUGACGAGGCAGCCAGAGACUCCCAGUUGCAUUGCUGAACUGCUGAUUUACCUCCAUACUUGGACUCUGUAUCUGUCCACAGGCAACAAGUACUUAAAUGUGUGACUUUGCAGAGAAAUAGGUGGCUUUACAAAAUUAGGUAAUUUAGAUUUAAAAGAUAUUUAUUGGGCUGGGUAUGUAACUCAGUAAUAGAGUGCUUGCUGGGCAUGCUUUAAGGCUCUGGGUUCAAUGUCUAGCACCAUUAAAAAAAAA